UACGUAGGGGCCAAGCGUUGUCCGGAUUUAUUGGGCGUAAAGAGCUCGUAGGCGGUUCGGUAAGUCAGCUGUGAAAUCUCCACGCUCAACGUGGAGGGGUCAGCUGAUACUGCCGUGACUUGAGUCUGGUAGGGGAGUGCGGAAUUCCCGGUGUAGCGGUGAAAUGCGCAGAUAUCGGGAGGAACACCAGUGGCGAAGGCGGCACUCUGGGCCAGUACUGACGCUGAGGAGCUAAAGCGUGGGGAGCGAACAGG
rnacentral:rRNA from 1 species